rnacentral:rRNA from 1 species
GACGAACGCUGGCGGCGUGCUUAACACAUGCAAGUCGAACGGAAAGGCCCUGCUUUUGUGGGGUGCUCGAGUGGCGAACGGGUGAGUAACACGUGAGUAACCUGCCCUUGACUUUGGGAUAACUUCAGGAAACUGGGGCUAAUACCGGAUAGGAGCUCCUGCUGCAUGGUGGGGGUUGGAAAGUUUCGGCGGUUGGGGAUGGACUCGCGGCUUAUCAGCUUGUUGGUGGGGUAGUUGCUUACCAAGGCUUUGACGGGUAGCCGGCCUGAGAGGGUGACCGGGCACAUUGGGACUGAGAUACGGCCCAGACGCCUACGGGAGGCAGCAGUGGGGAAUAUUGCACAAUGGGCGGAAGCCUGAUGCAGCAACGCCGCGUGCGGGAUGACGGCCUUCGGGUUGUAAACCGCUUUCGCCUGUGACGAAGCGUGAGUGACGGUAAUGGGUAAAGAAGCACCGGCUAACUACGUG